CCUACGGGAGGCAGCAGUGAGGAAUAUUGGUCAAUGGACGAGAGUCUGAACCAGCCAAGUAGCGUGAAGGAUGACUGCCCUAUGGGUUGUAAACUUCUUUUAUAUGGGAAUAAAACGUUCCACGUGUGGGAUUUUGUAUGUACCAUAUGAAUAAGGAUCGGCUAACUCCGUGCCAGCAGCCGCGGUAAUACGGUGGAUCCGAGCGUUAUCCGGAUUUGUUGGGUUUAAAGGGAGCGUAGGCGGGUUGUUAAGUCAGUUGUGAAAGUUUGGGGCUCAACCGUAAAAUUGCAGUUGAAACUGGCAGUCUUGAGUACCGUAGAGGUGGGCGGAAUUCGUGGUGUAGCGGUGAAAUGCUUAGAUAUCACGAAGAACUCCGAUUGCGAAGGCAGUUCACUGGACUGAAACUGACGCUGAGGCUCGAAAGUGUGGGUAUCAAACAGGAUUAGAUACCCGGGUAGUC
rnacentral:rRNA from 1 species